CAUGGCGAUUCACCAAGAGCUACUCUUCAAGACUGUUAACCAGCUUAUCUUCCCACAACUGGAUGACGAAUGUAUUUAAUAACCUUCAGUUUUACUCUGACAAAGGAUUAUGUGUAGCUAGGCUUCUCAACCCUGGAUCAGAGGUACAGGAAAAACACAAGGGAAUCUGCAGUCCCCUGAGGUCAAGAUGCUUAAUAUUCUCAGAGCCAGAAGCAGGCUGGGCUAGGAUCCACUGUUCAUCCUACCUUCAGAUCGUCACAGGCCCUUUGUCAUAACACUUGACUCUGUCACUCCACAAAGCACACCAGCGCCUGUGCUGUCUGACCUCAAUGUCUUGGAAAUCAGCUAAAAGUGCUUCGCUCUUCUGAAAAAUGGAAAAUGCACUAUGAGUCUGCAUUAAUGAACACUCCAACUUGAGCCAUCUUUGUCCUCUUUGAGGUAUACCUGGGUGGAUAACAAGCAACCGAGCUCUUAGAAUGGAGAGAAGCAUGUGGAUGGGUACUGAACAACUGUCCAGUCACAGUGGAUUCAAACUGGAUAUUAAUAAUAGGAUGGACAGGCAAAUUGCUAUUGGCUGUUUCACGGAGUGCCACCACAGUGAGAAGAGCUGACAACCAUGCAAAGUGAGAUGGAAGAAACUGGAGAACACAAAACUGACAAGAAAAAAGAUCCA